GCCGUCCCUUCCUUUCUCCCCUCCUCCAUUUUUGGUUAGGUCUGACCUUUCUUUAGCCAUAGACAGAGGUCGUCCAUUCCAUUUCGGUGCAAAUUUUGGCUGGUUUCGCAACCAGACGAACCCUAAGUCUACAAUUUAUCAACGUCGUUGUCCCCUUUCGACCUCUAUGCACACGCAAACCAUUUUCGGAUAAAAAUACAGCAAGUUUUCUACAUCAUCAACAUUUGUUCCUCCAUUUUUGGCAAAGCUUUUCUGGUUUUUAUUUGUUUGCCUUAAGCCUGAACGGUAAUCUCUGAUUUUCAAAUUUAUUUUGAGGUUUCCCUCCUUUGCCAACGAAAAGAUUCGAAUCUUUUCAAAAAUAUGCGGAUUUGAAAUUAAAUUGAACGAAUUUCACUUUGUGAAGAGGUCGGAUAUCACUCUAGGAACCCUAAUCUGGACCUAUAAAAAAGACGAGUUUUGGAACCAAAAGGGGGCUUUCUUUUGGCCGCCUCUAUUCCUCCAAAAAUAUUAAUCUUCCUCAGUUCCAAUACCCUUUAGUUUUUUUACUCGAAAUCCUAAGUUAUACUAAUCACUCUUUCGCCUCUACCAUCGCUUCGAAUCUGAGCGUAUUCAAGCUCGGAGUUGAUAGUGUUCGAGAGUAGAUUUAAUACCCCGCACCCCUGUUCGCUGCACCCGAAAAAGAGUCAUAAAUCGGGACUCUCUCCAAAACGGAGUUUCAAAAUGAAACCGGCGCUAUUACUAUACCGUGCAUGGAGUCAACACAUUUCAUAUUCUUUAACCUCAACCCACAACAAGAAAACAAUCGAAUUCGCUUGAAGCCCGCCUAUGCCAAUUUUCGUUUUCUCUUUUGGCUCUCUGCUCUGUUUGUUACUAUUUUAUUUGUGUGUGUGUUUUGAAUGAUUGCUUUUGAUGCUUAUUUGAAUUGCUUGGUACCUGGUAUAAUGGGUUUAAGAUCAGCAUAUGGCUAACUUUUAAUCUUUAAUUAAAUCAAUUGAGUAUGCUAAAGAA